rnacentral:misc_RNA from 1 species
GAUGAAGAACGCAGCGAAAUGCGAUAAGUAGUGUGAAUUGCAGAAUUCAGUGAAUCAUCGAAUCUUUGAACGCACAUUGCGCCUUCUAGUAUUCUGGGAGGCAUGCCUGUUUGAGCGUCAUUAAACCUCUCUCAAGUAUGAUUACUUGGAUGUGAAGGAAGAGUACCUUAAACUUAAGGAGUGUUCUCCUUUGAAAUUGAUUAGCAGAUGGUAAUGUUAUUAAAUCCCUGAUGUUGUAAGAAAUAACAGUGGUUUUGUAGACUAUUAUCUAGCUUUAAAUUAUAAUUUUUAUUAUGGUUGACCUCAAAUCAGGUAAGGAUACCCGCUGAACUUAAGCAUAUCAAUAAGCGGAGG